UAACAAGGAUUCCCCUAGUAACUGCGAGUGAAGAGGGAAGAGCCCAGCACCGAAGCCCCUGUCAUUUUGGCAGGGUGCAAUGUGGUGUUCGGGAGAGGUCAAUCUCGCGGAGAGCCUCGGUGUCCAAGUCCCCCUGACUGGGGCCAUUGCCCGCUGGGGGUGCAAGGCCUGUUGGGCAGGGCUGGGUCUCCUGAUCUCCGCUGAGUACGGCCUCUUCCUUGGAGUCGGGUUGCUUGAGAGUGCAGCCCAAAGUGGGUGGUAAACUCCACCUAAGGCUAAAUACUUGCCACGAGACCGAUAGCAAACAAGUACCGUGAGGGAAAGUUGCAAAGAACUUUGAAGAGAGAGUUCAAGAGUGCGUGAAACCGUUUGGAGGUAAACGGGUGGGAGCGCGAAGGUCGAACGGAUGGUGGAGGGAUUCAACUUGUGCGCGGCGGUCGCCUUGGCUGUGCGGCGUGAGCGGGGGCCAGCGCCUUCUCCCCUUGUUGGGAGGGGGUGACGUCUCGCUCCGUUCUGCCAGCUGAGAAGACGGUCCGCCGUGCCUUGUGCAUUUCCCAUUUCCCCCUCUCCUAGUAGGACGCCGCGACCGGCUGUUGUGUUUCGGGCCCAGGAGCUGGGUGGAGCAGCUGCGCGGACGAGUUAUGGGAUUCGUUCCCUGCGUCCGGUCUGUCUGUCUCCGCCCGACUGCAGUUGGCCCGCCACGGCCGAGGAACUUUGACGGCGAGUCGAGUUCAACCCUCACCGGUUGGAUUCCUCGUCCUGUCGUCGCGCCCUUCGAUUUAGGCGGUGCGGGUCGAAAGAUCCCAACGGGGUGGCGGUAGAUGAGCGUGCGCCGGUCCUUAGUGGCCGCGUCGUGCGUUCUGUCUUGCGUCAGCCUCCGUCUGUCAGGGUGCGGACUCCCGCAAUGGGGCGCUGGGGGUCGGCGGCGAGUAGGUCGGUUUCCCACCCGACCCGUCUUGAAACACGGACCAAGAAGUCUAACGCGUGGGCGAGUCUUCGGGGGCACUGCUAACCCCAGAUCGGGUGCGGUCCUCCGCCACUCAGUUUCGGCUGGGUGGAGGAGGCCGUGUUUAAGCCCGUGGAAGGCGCAAUGAAAGUGAAGGCGUGCGCCAGGUGGUCUCCCCUGAGCUGGGCACCUUUCGGGGUGCUCUGUCUUGGUUGGUGGACUCGCCUGGUGUCGCUGCGGUGGGAUCCCCGUCCUUUAAUGGCGGCGGCGCACCACCGGCCCGUCCUACGGUCGCUUCGCCGACCGGGCGGAGCUAGAGCCCACGCGUUGGGACCCGAAAGAUGGUGAACUAUGCCUGGGCAGGACGAGGCCAGAGGAAACUCUGGUGGAAGUCCGCAGCGGUUCUGACGUGCAAAUCGAUCGUCGGACCUGGGUAUAGGGGCGAAAGACUAAUCGAACCNNNNNNNNNNNNNNNNNNNNNNNNNNNNNNNNNNNNNNNNNNNNNNNNNNNNNNNNNNNNNNNNNNNNNNNNNNNNNNNNNNNNNNNNNNNNNNNNNNNNGCCAAGUCGAUUGGAUUGUUUCACCCACUAAUAGGGAACGUGAGCUGGGUUUAGACCGUCGUGAGACAGGUUAGUUUUACCCUACUGAUAACUCGUCACUGCGAUAGUAAUCCUGCUCAGUACGAGAGGAACCGCAGGUUCGGACAAUUGGUACUUGUGCUUGGCCGAGCGGCCAGUGGUGCGAAGCUACCAUCCGUGGGAUUACGACUGAAAGCCUCUAAGUCGGAAUCCCUUCUAGACAUGUGCAGUGAUAUCGCGUGUGCCUCGUGUGCCUUUGGGUGGCAACGCCAGGCGGUGGCGGUGUAUUUCCCGCGCGGAGCGGUCCUUGGCUCUCUGCUGCGUCGGGCCUCCUCCCCUCACCCUCUUGGGGGUGCUGGGUGGGGGGGUUUCGGCCAGCAAGCGUCUUGGUCGUAGUCGUUCGGGCGCCGUCUCGCCAGUGAAGCCUCACCCCGGAGGAGAGAACUUUAGCAUGCGGUGGUGAAUAGACCAAUAUAACCCUUACCGCAUCCACCUCUCGUGCGGGAAACCGUCCUUGCAAUGCAGAGGCGUUAAAUCGUCUGUAGACGACCCAAGUACUGGUCGGGGUGUCGUAAGUAGUAGAGCAGCCCCCACACUGCGAUC
rnacentral:rRNA from 1 species